rnacentral:lncRNA from 1 species
UGGGGCAUCCUGGGUCUUCCUUCUUCUUUGGUGAUUUAUUGAGGAUGGCCGCACUACAUUCUUCUGUCAGCUUGAUAACCUCAGUGGUGGGCAGUGGUCUCUUCUUGUUAAGAAUAUCUCUGAUGUACUUUGCAUAUGUAGGUACCUGUAUGGCAUCGAGCAGAGGUAUGUUGAUAUAUAAUUUUUGAAUGACCUCUACAAACUUACUAAACUGCUCAUCCGACUGCAGUCCUCUGUUUCUUCUGGGAAAUGGCAAAUAGUUGGUGUCGUAAAAAUCUUUCCUCAUUUCUCCAGUUCUUGGUGGUUGUGGC